UCAAAAAUCAUUAUUUGUUUGGAUUGUGUGAUGUUGUAAAUAAUUCGGAAUAUGUUAUCUCAAUUUUGAGGGGUUGUGGUGAAGAUUAGACUUGGUUUUGACUGGAUUUCACAUUGAAACUCUUCGAAGAAGAAGACAUAUUUUCAGAAAUUGUAGAUAAGUUGUAGAUAAAUUGUAGAUAAAUUGUAGAAAUGUAGAUAAAUUGUAGAUAAAUUAUAGAUUGGGAAGACUAAAACUU
rnacentral:lncRNA from 1 species